CAAACAUACAUAGAGGUUGAGAUUUCCAUCCAAAGGUAUCCUCGUCGAAGAGUGAUAAGUGGUCCAUGGGGAUAUUGGGACCUGCAUAAACUAAGAAGAGUCGUCACGUGAUGUAGUAGAUCGCAAAGGAGUCGAGAGUGGUUCGAAGAGUAGGCAGGUUGGAAAAAAACAGAAUCGGGUAUUGGUGACGGGUCUGAAUCAGGAUGUCCGUCCGUGAGACUGUCGACUGAUAGGGAGAGAGUGGAAUAAUCUG